CAAUGGCGCAGGCUUAAACAUGCAGUCGAACGGAAUCUUCGGAUUUAGUCGCGCGGACGGGUGAGUAACGCGUGAGAAUCUGGCUUCAGGUCGGGGACAACAGUUGGAAACGACUGCUAAUACCGGAUGUGCCGAGAGGUAAAAGAUUAAUUGCCUGAAGAUGAGCUCGCGUCUGAUUAGCUAGUUGGUGUGGUAAGAGCGCACCAAGGCGACGAUCAGUAGCUGGUCUGAGAGGAUGAUCAGCCACACUGGGACUGAGACACGGCCCAGACUCCUACGGGAGGCAGCAGUGGGGAAUUUUCCGCAAUGGGCGAAAGCCUGACGGAGCAAUACCGCGUGAGGGAGGAAGGCUCUUGGGUUGUAAACCUCUUUUCUCAAGGAAUAAAAAAAUGAAGGUACUUGAGGAAUAAGCAUCGGCUAACUCCGUGCCAGCAGCCGCGGUAAUACGGAGGAUGCAAGCGUUAUCCGGAAUGAUUGGGCGUAAAGGGUCCGCAGGUGGCAGUGAAAGUCUGCUGUCAAAGAAUGAGGCUCAACCUCAUCAAGGCAGUGGAAACUACACAGCUAGAGUACGGUCGGGGUAGAAGGAAUUCCUGGUGUAGCGGUGAAAUGCGUAGAAAAUA
rnacentral:rRNA from 1 species